rnacentral:tRNA from 1 species
GCGCGCUUAGCUCAGUUGGUUAGAGCACCUCGUUUACACCGAGGGGGUCGCAGGUUCGAAUCCUGCAGCGCGCACCA